GAUGAACGCUGGCGGCGUGCCUAAUACAUGCAAGUCGAGCGAACGGACGAGAGGCUUGCUUCUCUGAUGUUAGCGGUGGACGGGUGAGUAACACGUGGAUAACCUACCUAUAAGACUGGGAUAACUUCGGGAAACCGGAGCUAAUACCGGAUAAUAUUUUGAACCGCAUGGUUCAAAAGUGAAAGACGGUCUUGCUGUCACUUAUAGAUGGAUCCGCGCUGCAUUAGCUAGUUGGUAAGGUAACGGCUUACCAAGGCAACGAUGCAUAGCCGACCUGAGAGGGUGAUCGGCCACACUGGAACUGAGACACGGUCCAGACUCCUACGGGAGGCAGCAGUAGGGAAUCUUCCGCAAUGGGCGAAAGCCUGACGGAGCAACGCCGCGUGAGUGAUGAAGGUCUUCGGAUCGUAAAACUCUGUUAUUAGGGAAGAACAUAUGUGUAAGUAACUGUGCACAUCUUGACGGUACCUAAUCAGAAAGCCACGGCUAACUACGUG
rnacentral:rRNA from 1 species